rnacentral:lncRNA from 1 species
GGUUGGAUGGCAUCACUGAUUCAGUGGACAUGAGUUUGAACAAACUCUGGAAGAUAGUGAAGGACAGGGAAACCUGGCAUGUUGCAGUUCAUGGGGUUGCAAAGAUUCAGACACAACUUAGAGACUGAACGAGUGCGGUAAUAUCAGUAAUACAGCACAUAGCACAUGCUUGGUACAUCAGAAGACCUCAUAAAUGUCAACUCCUCUGUUGUCUUUAUUGUCAUAAUAGCAUAGUGCUUCAAGGGCAAUUCUAAAUUUAUAAUUGUGGGGAUUAACUUGGUAUGACUGCAGCUGAUGAUACUGUUGAGCUACACUCAGACAAUGGCCUGGAUCUUAGAGGUGUUACUAGAAGUCAAUUCAGCCACAAGUACUUUGAUAAGGUUUUUAUUUUAGUACUCAGUAUACUAUUCUAAUGGAAAUACCUAGAGAUUUCAGAAAAGUCUUUCCUACUUAAAUAUACGUAUUUUCCAGUGGAAUCUUUCCAAUUAUUUUUUCCAUUCUUUCAUUUAUAUUUAUUUUAUUAUUUGUUGACUAAUCUCAGCCUCUUUCCCCCANUUCUCACUUCUGAAUUUUGUCUCUCUUCACACACUCUGGCUCAGGGAAAGUGGAGUGACAUAUAUGUGAGUGUGAUGGGUAAUUUCAGCAAGUAUAAACUGAAGAUGCUCAGUGCACCCCUUUCCUUUUUCCUCAUGGAGCAUGUAACUCCAGGGGUCCAUACAUGCCACUUUUGCCCCUUAUUCAUGGGGUCCUGACCCACUUGAGGAGCCCUGUGGAUUUGCGGCCAUAUCUGAUUUAAGUCAGUAAAUCUAUGUAAUCUUGAUCAAUAUUAGAGUUUACUGUUCCACAUAUGGGCUUCCCAGCUGACACUAGUGGCAAAGAAUCUGCCUGCCAGUUCAGGAGACAAGGAUUAGAUCCCUAGGUCACAAAGACCCUCUGGAGUAGGAAAUGGCAACCCACUCCAGG